rnacentral:lncRNA from 1 species
GGGUUUAGACCAGAAGAAACUUCACAGGUUGGAUUGAAAAGCCAGAGGGGUCUAUGGAAAUUUCCAGGCCUGGCACUGGAAGGAGGAUCUCCCUGUCAGACAAAGGAGGAUCCCAAGCCCUUCCGUGGUCACCUACGGGUCAGAGCCUGACAAGCAGCAACUGCUCCUGAGGACCUUCAGACUUGGAGGAAGGACUUAGUAAGAACCUUGGAAACUGGACUUGGUGUAUACCUGCAAUCCCAGCUACUUGGGAGGAUGAGACUAUGAUUGACUGCAGAAAACUGAAACUGCGGAGAGUGAAUCUGUGGGUCAGAGCAACUACUGGACUGGUUCCCUCCUCCUGGCUAACCUUGUUCUCAGUUGAGCCCAGCCUUUGCAGACACCCAGAGGCAUUGCUGGCGGCAGCCACUCCCAUCUUACACACCAUGGGGCUGACGUGCAGACUCUCAGGGCACUUACUCUCAGGGUUACGAGAGAGUAUAGGGGUGGCUUGGGAGAGUCUCCUUAAAUUCUGCACCCCCAGAGCUUCCCCCAACCCACUGAGAUGUGUGGG